rnacentral:lncRNA from 1 species
CCAGUGGUCAGCAGACAACAGGCUGCCCAUUUUUUCUCAGGUUGUGCAACCACUUCUUCAUGGUAUAGAGAUAACAGACAACAUUCAUCGUCGCCUUAUGAAACAACUUCGUCAUGAGUUGAUUCAUUUCCUUGAAGCGUCUUUCUGUCACGUCUUGCUGAAGCAAGACGUCAUAGGCGGCUACGACAGGUGCGGAGGAAGGCUACAAACAAAGAAACAACUGAGGCUUCAGUUGAUGUGGUCGUUGCACAAAAUGUCGAUCCCGAAUCUGCAUUACAAGAACUGGCAGCUAUGGAAGAAGUGCUUGGUCCUAACGGGACUUUUGAUACCCAAAGAGUUGCAGUUCUUCUGCACAGCACACUGACCCAGCGCAAAAAUGACCCUCCACUUACCCUGCCAUGCUAUUUUCUCAAUGAGGAUAUUCUUACAGUGGAAGCUCAGCUCAGGUUUGCAACGACAAUGGAUGAUGCCAUUUACCAUCUCAACAAGGCCAAACAAAUCAUUGGUGAAAUGUGCAACCACCCGAUGGACUUCUGUGACAUUGAUAACUACCUGCGUGGGACUCAUGCAAAAUCUUCAUUGAUA